rnacentral:rRNA from 1 species
UAGGGGGCAAGCGUUAUCCGGAUUUACUGGGUGUAAAGGGAGCGUAGACGGUAUGGCAAGUCUGAUGUGAAAACCCGGGGCUCAACCCCGGGACUGCAUUGGAAACUGCCGGACUAGAGUGCCGGAGAGGCAAGUGGAAUUCCUAGUGUAGCGGUGAAAUGCGUAGAUAUUAGGAGGAACACCAGUGGCGAAGGCGGCUUGCUGGACGGUAACUGACGUUGAGGCUCGAAAGCGUGGGGAGCAAA